AUUGAACGCUGGCGGCAGGCCUAACACAUGCAAGUCGAGCGGAGCGGCGGACGGGUGAGUAAUGCCUAGGAAUCUGCCUGGUAGUGGGGGAUAACGUCCGGAAACGGGCGCUAAUGCCGCAUACUAUCAGAUGAGCCUAGGUCGGAUUAGCUAGUGGGUGGGGUAAAGGCCGACCAAGGCGACGAUCCGUAACGUGUCUGAGAGGAUGAUCAGGCACACGGGAACUGCGACACGGUCCAGACUCCUACGUGAGGCAGCAGUGGGUAAUAUUGAACAAUGGGCGAAAGCCUGAUUCAGCCAUGCCGCGUGUGGUAAGAAGGUCUUCGGAGUGUAAAGCACUUUAAGUUGGGAGGCGUUACCAACAGAAGAAGCACCGGCUAACUUCGUGCCAGCAGCCGCGGUAAUUC
rnacentral:rRNA from 1 species